GUUCUUGCGAUAGCAUUCCUGCAUAGUACGGGAGGAACCGCAGGUACGGCUCAAUGGCACAAUACUUGUUCGAGCGAACAGUGGUAUGACGCUACGUCCGUUGGAUUAUGCCUGAACACCUGUAAGGUCGUAUCCGAGCUGGACUGCAAUGAU
rnacentral:ncRNA from 1 species